rnacentral:rRNA from 1 species
GGAAUAUUGCACAAUGGGGGAAACCCUGAUGCAGCGACGCCGCGUGAGUGAAGAAGCAUUUCGGUGCGUAAAGCUCUAUCAGCAGGGAAGAAAAUGACGGUACCUGACUAAGAAGCCCCGGCUAACUACGUGCCAGCAGCCGCGGUAAUACGUAGGGGGCAAGCGUUAUCCGGAUUUACUGGGUGUAAAGGGAGCGUAGACGGCAUGGCAAGUCUGAAGUGAAAUGCAUGGGCUCAACCCAUGAACUGCUUUGGAAACUGUCAGGCUGGAGUGUCGGAGGGGUAAGCGGAAUUCCUGGUGUAGCGGUGAAAUGCGUAGAUAUCAGGAGGAACAGCGGCGGCGAAGGCGGCUUACUGGACGAUAACUGACGUUGAGGCUCGAAAGCGUGGGGAGCAAACA